UGGAAUUUUCCACAACAUCUUUUUCUGCAUCGCAAAUUUAUUAUUUCCCACGAGAAAUAAUGAAUUAUGCUUAGCUUAACGACAACGUGCAGACUUUUGAUUACCUGACCGGCCGAUGUCAUCUAACACCCCAUGCGCGGCUCGAAUUGACCACGCAGCAUUAAUUCGUGUGAACAUGCUUUAUUCUUUCCUCAGGUAAUGUGUAACUUUUCUAACUAAUAAAAAUCAUUCAUUCAAUGUCCAACAAGCAAAGUGUAUACAUCGUGUCCUGAUGACAGACCCGUGCGCCUUCUCCAUUAAUGUUCGCGAAGUACAGUACAUGGCUGACCGUUGACCCGCGCCUUCUCCGUGAUUAGUGAAUUAGUGAAGCAUGGCUAGUGGUAAUGCUGUAUAAACUCAUCUCCAAACGUGAAAGAAGACGUGCAGCUAAUCGAAUUGCUAAAUCAAUGGCAAACCUUACUGAGGUUACAGUUCAGAAAGACUAAAGUGCAAAAAGGAACUAAUAAGCCCCAGCGAAUUCGAAAAACGACUUUCGCGGUGAACCUAGGUGAAGAUAUUUAAGCAAGUGCAUCGUUUUAGAUUACGCCAAGUCAAUUAUCAACGUUAAAUUCCAGUUGAUAACGUGAGAUGAACAGUGUACGAAACCAGGAUUCCAGAGAAUCAGUUAUGUUUAUAUUUUGAGUCGCUGAUGGACAAUUCAAACUAGGUGUAUAAACACAACAGUUGGGUGUCGCAAAUGUGUUACUGCAGCAUGAACAAGUGAAACCUUGGAUUCCAGAUGAUCAGUGAUGUUUAUAUUUUGAGUCGCUGCUACAUCGAGUACAGACACAACAAUUGAGUGCAGUGGAUAUGUUACUACAAUUUCGUGUGGAUCCGAUCUCAGCAGUAAAACCGAAGCAGUGUGCAGGGGGCACAAAUGGCAACUUGGAUGAUAGUUGUUUGCAGCUCAUGCACCACGGGAUGCCGUUCCAGCUGACAGUAAAGCUAAGUACCAUUAUAAAUGAAAUAGUUCAAAAAUUUAAAAAUUGUGCGUUGUGAUACCAUUCAAGUUUACAUUCAGGUAAUGGAUUUUCCUUUCUAAUAAUUUGAAAAGCAAUCGUCAGUUUCUUAUAAUUUGAAUAAUAUCAUCAAUGAAUCAGUUCGAAAAGUUAAAAAAGCUUCAUUCAAACUUGAAAAAAAUCCAUACAUAAUAAAAUUUCGGACAAAACCUUGCAAGCAAAACUUGACAUAAGCACUGCGUUGUACAACGAAAUAGAAGCAUUUUUAAAGGAAAAUUGUGCGAUUUUGGAGGAAACAGUUUUUACUAAUAUAUGUAAAAACUCGCGUCUCUUUAAUUACGAAAUACAACAAAUUGUUAAUCAAAAAAUUGCUGAAAACAAAAUACAAAAUAAUUUAAAUUCGUCCAGUAGACACAGUUUGAAACGCGUUGCUAAGACUACGGUAUUGUGUUCGCAGUUGCUGUUAGGCACAAGAAGAAAGAAUCUACACAAAUCCCCUCAUCAUCAUUCUAAACAUAAGAAACGUUCAAAUUCUACACAGCCUUUGACCAUCGCUCCAAACACAGCAAUGGCCUUCAAUAUUGCUACUGCUGCGCAGCUAGCGCAGUUGAUUCCAGCAUUCGACGGUAAGC